AGUCACUGACAUUAGAUACCCGGGUAGUCCUAGCCGUAAACGAUACUCGCUAGGUGUCGGCCACGGUGCGACCGUUGUCGGUGCCGUAGGGAAGCCGUGAAGCGAGCCACCUGGGAAGUACGGCCGCAAGGCUGAAACUUAAAGGAAUUGGCGGGGGAGCACAACAACGGGUGGAGCUUGCGGUUUAAUUGGAUUCAACGCCGGAAAUCUUACCGGGACCGACAGCAACAUGAAGGCCAAGCUGAAGACUUUGCCGGAUUAGCUG
rnacentral:rRNA from 1 species